rnacentral:hammerhead_ribozyme from 1 species
GCACUGCUGAGGAGUCCCAUAAUAGGACGAAACGGUGAUCCAGUGC